ACACCCUCAAGCCUAGCUUGGUGUUGGGCGUCUGUCCCGCAUUCGUUGCGCGGACUCGCCUCAAAGUCAUUGGCGGCGGUCGUGCCGGCUCCUCGCGCAGCACAUUUGCGCUUCUCGGAGGCCCGGCGGAUCAGCAUCCAGCAAGCUACUUUUUAUG
rnacentral:misc_RNA from 1 species